GACGAACGCUGGCGGCGUGCUUAACACAUGCAAGUCGAACGGAAAGGCCCUGCUUUCGUGGGGUGAUCGAGUGGCGAACGGGUGAGUAACACGUGAGUAACCUGCCCUUGACUUUGGGAUAACUUCAGGAAACUGGGGCUAAUACAGGACAGGAGCCCCCGCUGCAUGGAGGGGGUUGGAAAGUUUCGGCGGUUGGGGAUGGAUUAGCGGCUGAUCAGCUAGUUGGUGGGGUAGUGGCAUACCCAGGCUGUGACGGGUAGCCGGCCUGAGAGGGUGACCGGCGACAUGGGUCCUGAGGGACGGCCCAGACUCCUACGUUGGGCAGCGGUGGGGAAUAUGGUACAGUGGGCGGAAGCCUGAGGCGGCAACGCCGCGUUCGGAAUGACGUCCUGCGGGGUGUAAACCGCUUUCGCCUGUGACGAAGCGUUAGUGACGGUAAUGGGUGAAGAAGCACCGGCUAACUACGUG
rnacentral:rRNA from 1 species